GCAUCUUCCUCCCCUCUCCUGCUACUCCUCCAUCCUUGUCCCUACUCCCCCCAAUAGCCCUGUUGAAUAGUCCCCUUCUCUCUAGUCCCCACCUUCAGCCCUCCCACCCGCCCUCAGCCACACCAGGUGAGCCAUCAAUCUCAUCGAAAGGUUCCCCUACUGCCCCCAGCAUUCAGAAGUUCCAGGGCUGUGGGCACCUGGAAACUUGACCUUACAAACAAGGACUGCAGAACCAUGGAGCCAGUGCGGAGUGCCUCUCUGUUGACUUCCGUGCUGCCUGGGUCCUGGCAGCUGAUCCUAACCAAGAAGGAACCCAGAGAUUUCUAGAGAAGUCAGCCCCCUGAGGACACCAGUAUUUCUCAGUUCACAGGGGUGGACUGAAGGGUCCAGAGUAAAGCCCUGGGUGGAAAGAAUACACAUGGACAUGUUGCGU
rnacentral:lncRNA from 1 species